rnacentral:rRNA from 1 species
AGUCGAGGGGCAGCGGGGUUGUAGCAAUACAACUGCCGGCGACCGGCGCACGGGUGAGUAACACGUAUGUAACCUGCCCUCUGCAGGGGGAUAAGCGGAAGAAAUUCCGUCUAAUACCGCAUAAUACAAUUUGGAGACAUCUCCGGGUUGUCAAAGGAGUGAUCCGGCAGAGGAUGGACAUGCGGCGCAUUAGCUAGUCGGCGGGGUAACGGCCCACCGAGGCUACGAUGCGUAGGGGUUCUGAGAGGAAGGUCCCCCACACUGGUACUGAGACACGGACCAGACUCCUACGGGAGGCAGCAGUGAGGAAUAUUGGUCAAUGGGCGGAAGCCUGAACCAGCCAAGUCGCGUGAGGGAAGACGGUCCUAUGGAUUGUAAACCUCUUUUGCAGGGGAGCAAGGCGCGGUACGUGUACCGCGAAGGAGAGUACCCUGAGAAAAAGCAUCGGCUAACUCCGUGCCAGCAGCCGCGGUAAUACGGAGGAUGCGAGCGUUAUCCGGAUUUAUUGGGUUUAAAGGGUGCGCAGGCGGACUGUUAAGUCAGCGGUAAAAUGUCGGUGCUCAACACCGGCCGGCCGUUGAAACUGGCAGCCUUGAGUGAGCGAGAAGUAUGCGGAAUGCGUGGUGUAGCGGUGAAAUGCAUAGAUAUCACGCAGAACUCCGAUUGCGAAGGCAGCAUACCGGCGCUCAACUGACGCUCAGGCACGAAAGCGUGGGUAUCGAACAGGCUUAGAUACCCUGGUAGUCCACGCAGUAAACGAUGAAUGCUCACUGUCCGGGCCGUU